UGACGACCAUAGAGCAUUGGAACCACCUGAUCCCAUCCCGAACUCAGCAGUGAAACGAUGCAUCGCCGAUGGUAGUGUGGGGCUUCCCCAUGUGAGAGUAGGACAUCGCC
rnacentral:rRNA from 1 species